rnacentral:rRNA from 1 species
AACACGUGAGUAACCUGCCCUUGACUCUGGAAUAAGCCUGGUAAACUGGGCCUAAUACCGGAUAUGACUCCUCCUCGCAUGGCGGGGGGUGGAAAGGUUUUUGUGGUUUUGGAUGGACUCGCGGACUAUCCUGUUGUUGGUGAGGUAAUGGNUCACCAAAGGGACUACCGGUAGCCGGCCUGAGAGGGUGACCGGCCACACUGGGACUGAGACACNGACCAAACUCCUACCGGAGGCAGCANUGGGGAAUAUUGCACAAUGGGCGCCAGCCUGAUGCAACGACUCCGCGAGAGGGAUGACGGGCUUCGNGUUGGAAACCUCUUUCAAAAGGGAAGAAGCCAAAGAGAAAGUACCUGCAGAAGAACUGCCGGCUAACUACNUGCCACUGACCACAAAAAUACGGAUGGCGCAAGCGUUAUCCGGAAUUAUUGACCGUAAAGAGCUCGUAUGCGGUUUGUCAUGGCUGCCGAGAAAGUCCGGGGCUCAUCUCCGGAUCUGCNGUGGAAACNGGAAGACUANAUUGAUGUAGGGGAGACUGGAAU